rnacentral:rRNA from 1 species
GAUGAACGCUGGCGGCGUGCCUAAUACAUGCAAGUCGAGCGAACGGACGAGAAGCUUGCUUCUCUGAUGUUAGCGGCGGACGGGUGAGUAACACGUGGAUAACCUACCUAUAAGACUGGGAUAACUUCGGGAAACCGGAGCUAAUACCGGAUAAUAUUUUGAACCGCAUGGUUCAAAAGUAAAGGACGGUCUUGCUGUCACUUAUAGAUGGAUCCGCGCUGCAUUAGCUAGUUGGUAAGGUAACGGCUUACCAGGGCAACGAUGCAUAGCCGACCUGAGAGGGUGAUCGGCCACACUGGAACUGAGACACGGUCCAGACUCCUACGGGAGGCAGCAGUAGGGAAUCUUCCGCAAUGGGCGAAAGCCUGACGGAGCAACGCCGCGUGAGUGAUGAAGGUCUUCGGAUCGUAAAACUCUGUUAUUAGGGAAGAACAUAUGUGUAAGUAACUGUGCACAUCUUGACGGUACCUAAUCAGAAAGCCACGGCUAACUACGUG